AAGUCUUCUCCCUCUUCGCAUAGAACCCUUCUCUCUCUAAAGUCUUCUCCCUCUUCGCAUAGAACUCUUCUCUCUCUAAAGUCUUAUCCUCUUAGCAUAGAACUCUUCUCUCUCUCUAAAGUCUUGUCCCUCUUCGCAUAGAAACUCUUCUCUCUCUCUAGCAUUCAACGCAUUCUCUCUCUAAACCCGCGUUUCUCUCUCUACAUCAUAGAAAUGUGCCUCAAGUCUACGAGAUCACGGUUCUCCACUGCAAAACCCUAUCGCUGUCUCCGCAAACCCCUUUCCCUCUCUAAGCCACCUGGAAUAGAAAUAUCUAUCUAAACCCCAUUUCUCUCUCUUCCUGCAAUGGGAUCUCUCUGAAACUCCAUCUCUAAUUCUCUCUCUACACUUGUAGAACUAGUCUAUGCUACAAAACUUCCCCCUCUCUUUUGCUUAGAAACCCCUGUUCUUCUCUCUCUAGAAAUGAGCGCAGAUAACUCACCUGACACCCUCCCCCGCCUCUCUGGUGUCGAGUCCUCUGCAGAAGAGGGCGAGCAGCGCCCAGAGAGAGAAAGAGAGAGCUUAUCUAGAGAGAGAGAGGACCCUCGAUCAUCUAGAGAGAGAGGAGGGCCUUCGGUCAUCUAGAGAGAGAGAGGACCAUCGGUCAUCUGGAGAGAGAGAGGACCAUCGGUCAUCUGGAGAGAGAGAGGACCAUCGGUCAUCUGGAGAGAGAGAGGACCAUCGCUCUGACAGUAGAGAUAGAGAGAGAGAUAGGUACCAUUCCGACUCUCGCAGGAGAAGUGAUGA
rnacentral:lncRNA from 1 species